rnacentral:lncRNA from 1 species
UUGCAGAACCCAUAACCAUCAUCCCGAUGAAUACACCAACAAAAAAAAACAUACUAGCCAUGUCCACCAAUGACAAGAUCGCGUUAAUGAGAGUGAAGAAAAGUCGAUUGGUGAAGGCAUCAACCAAAAUUCAUCCCUUCCUCCAACUUCCUCUGCACAAUGCCUCAAGCCAACAAACCCGACAGUAUCCCCAAAACUGCCAAAGUUGAAAAAAUCCAAUAGACCUUUCCCGAUCCCCAAAACGAGGAAACUUCCAUCGAACCCCCACCGAAGAAAGCUCGAAUCGAACAGAGUCCAACCCUUUCAUUACCCAUCGCUAAAGAAAUCCCCUUUACCUCAACCCCACCUCAACAAAAAAUACCAACCACCGUGUGGUCCAAAUACUUACUUGAGGGCUUCUCGUAUCACUGCUUUAGCACCUUUGUCUUCGAUGACGACGACAAAGUAUACAAAGACCACGACUCGGAGGAUCUGAUCUUGAAACCCGCCGUAUACCAAGGCUGAGUAAGUAAUCCCUUUCCAUAUUCUCUUCAUUCCUAAAGCUCCACCGAAAAAUCUAAUCCAAAUUUAUGUUUAUGUGAUUCAGUCCAUGGCAGCCUUUGGUCGGCUGCAAAGAAG